rnacentral:rRNA from 1 species
GAUAAACGCUGGCGGCGUGCCUAACACAUGCAAGUCGAACGUCCUCUCUCGCAAGAGAGAGGGAGUGGCGGACGGGUGAGUAACACAUGGGUCACCUACCCUUAAGUGAGGAAUACCGGCGAGAAAUCGCCGACAAGACCGCAUAGGCUCUCUCUUUUGCAAGAGAGAGCAAAGCUUCGCAAGAGGCGCUUGAGGAUGGGCCUGUGGCCGAUUAGCUGGNGGUAGGGUAAUGGCUUACCAAGGCGACGAUCGGUAGCUGGUCUGAGAGGACGAUCAGCCACACUGGGAUUGAGAACGGCCCAGACUCC